rnacentral:rRNA from 1 species
AGAUUGAACGCUGGCGGCGUGCCUAACACAUGCAAGUCGAGCGGUAACAGGUGUAGCAAUACAUGCUGACGAGCGGCGAACGGGUGAGUAAUGCUUUGGAAUCUUCCCAGUAGUGGGGAAUAACCAGUCGAAAGAUUGGCUAAUACCGCAUACGUCUGUAAAGGGAAAGCGGGGGCUCGUAAGACCUCGCGCUAUUGGAUGAGCCAAAGUCGGAUUAGCUAGUUGGUGGGGUAAUGGCCUACCAAGGCGACAAUCCGUAGCUGGUCUGAGAGGACGACCAGCCACACCGGAACUGAGACACGGUCCGGACUCCUACGGGAGGCAGCAGUGGGGAAUAUUGGACAAUGGGGGAAACCCUGAUCCAGCGACGCCGCGUGUGUGAAGAAGGCCUGCGGGUUGUAAAGCACUUUUAGUGGGGACAAAAGCUACGGAUUAAUACUACUGUGGUCUUGAUUUAACCCAAAGAAAAGCACCGGCUAACUCUGUGCCAGCAGCCGCGGUAA